AACAUUUUGGAUAGCACAUGGCAAGAUUUUUUUAUAUUUUUAUAUUUCAUUUGUAAAGCUGAAUGGGUUUACUUCAGAACAUGAAAUUUUAUUGGGUCAAUGGUAGUUCUGGCGUUUAGCUCAGCUAAUGCUUGGGAAUAACUGGUUUUGUACAUGGUCAUUUCUUUUUAGUUGUUGUCUUCCAACUCAAAUCCAUAAACAAUCUUUAAAUAGUCAAUAGCUUGAGAAGCUGUAUGCUGCUUUGCAUCAUCCAUAUUUUGCAUGCUAAUUCCAGUUCGUUUCGCAAAUAAACCUAAUGCCAUCAACAUUGAUAUGUGAGAAAAUAAAUUUUACAUAAAAAACAUCAUUUUCAGAAUGCUGCACAUGAUAGCAAGCAUCUAGCAUGCCAAAAUGCUCAAGUAGUUGUGAUAUCACACUCCGAAGAAAAAUUCUAAUAUGCAUUUCUAACAAAACAUACAAGAGCUAUCAAAAUAAGUAUAAGCAAAAUGAAUACAGAGAAAGUAACGACUUAUAAAAAAUGCAUAAAAUGACAAUAAAAGAAAUCGAAUACCCAUUGCAGUGGAUGCUGAAACAAAUAAUUGAAAGGCUGAAUACAUGAUUUGUAACAAAAGAGCACAUCCAUCACAGUACAUGUGAAGAAAGUUAUCAAAAGCUAUAGAAAGUGCAACUAUUUAUAGAAAUUUAGAUGGAGCUAGUAGUUAUGGAAAUGAGAUACAUAAAAGAGAAUAUACCGAGUAAAUGAUCAGCUCCUUUAAGAUUGAAUUGAUGGCAGAGAGUAGGGUAUCCUAGAAGGUCUGAGCACUAAAGAGGAAACCCACUGCUACUCAUUAAUGAUGGGUCAGAGAAACUGGAGCAGAAUAUUUGGAGAAGAUUGUUACAGAUUUUAAUAUUAAAUAAAGGACGCUGCGUUGACACACAAAAUCUGAAAAUAUUUUCGGAUCUUGUAUGAAUUGAUAAUUAUUUUUUAAAUUUUGCAUGAUUUGAAAAAUUGAUCGCUCAUGCCCACUCAUUAUAAUAUUCACCCUUCAACUGAACUUAAGUGAUAAUAUUACUAGGAUUGUCAUUUGUGGUUAGUGUGUAGAGGUUGGAUGUCUUCUUGUCUGAACUUGAACUCUUGUCAUCUCUGUUUUUCUCUUUUCUCAUGACUCUAAUAUCAUAUAAAAAUCUAAAAAAAUUGGGACUCAAACUUCUUCCCUUUCGUUGAUACUAAUACCAAAUAUAUAUAUGAAUUUACAGCUAAUUAAAUCUCUUACACAAGAGAAACUACCUAAACUUUACAAUAAGGAAAUCUCCUAAACAAAGAAAAUAAUCAAGAAUAAUAAAGAAUAAUAUAACAGGAAAGUAGGAAAAAUAAUUCAACCCCAAUCUAACUUGCUGCCAAGAUUAUUAUUAUUGUUGAGAUUAUUGCUACCGAGUCUUUUUCCUAACAAUUUAAUAUAUAUUUUAAAUUGAGUUUAGAAAAAAAAAAUUUAUUCAUAUAUGAGUUAAGUCCAUGGAAAAAUUGAAAAUAUGAUCUUUAAUUGAUAUAAUCAAAAUUUAAGAGCUAAAAUGUUAUGUUUUGAAGAGAAAAGUACAUAUAAUUAGCCUUUUUUCUUAAUAAUUUAAUAAAAAUUUGUGAGUUUUUUUUUUUUUUUGUCAGAAAGAUAAGAGAAUUCAUUAAUAGAGGCCUAAGGCUAAUAAGAGUACAAUCCAGAUAAAAUAGACUUGGAAAAAAAAGGCUGGUGGAAGCUUAAAAGUAAAGAACAUACGAGACCCAAAGCUCAUGCCAAAAAACCCUAGCAAACAAAGGAGACAAGAAGAACAAGAGUAGUGGCACCGAUGGGAUUGAUCCACCACCGAGAAAUGCCAAAAACAAAAGAUCCUCUAUCAGAACCUCCAACAACCAUCAUAGCUAAAGAAACUCAACCAAGCCAAAGACCACUAUCGUAGCUAUGGAUCUUAUUAAAGACUCAGCUUUAAGAAGGUAGUCUAAAAAGGUCAGCAAGUCUAUGCAAGCAGCGGUGGCUUCAAGACCUCAAGAUGCAACAUAUCUAACCAUUAAAGAACCACAAUCGUAGCCCAACCUCGAAACACACUUUUUGCAGCUCAAACUGACGGUGGAACAUAAAUUUCAAAUGAUAGAUCAAUGGAUAAUAUUCUCUUCUCACGCUCUAAUCAUGCCAACGAAAGUUAGAUCAAAGCAGUAAAGGCGGAGAACGAUAAAUGACUCAUUAGAACAUUGAUUCUCUAUAUAAAAAUAAACAUGCAUAUAAGAUACUUGUAUGUAUUAAGUUAAAGAAGAAAAAUACAGAAUACACAAUGAAAUGAAAAGAAACUAAAACAUAAGCAAAUCUCUAACAAAACCCUCUUGAUGAAACUUGGAUCUGCAAAUAAAAAGUUAGGAACAACUAUAUACACCCACCAAGAGGGAGAAGAGAGGAACCCAUGACUUCAAGUGGUAAGAGGAGUCAACUCUCCCCUCUCUUGAAAGAGUUAGAGGAUGACUGUUUGAAGAACUAUAUACACCCACCAAGAGAGAGAAGAGAGGAACCCAUGACUUCAAGUAGUAAGAGGAGUCAACUCCCCCUGAAAGAGUUACAUGAUGACCGAUUGAAGUAGCAGCAAAGGAGAUGUUAGAACCUCAAAUAAAAAAAAAAGAGAGUUAAGAGAAAACUCUCUCUAGACUAAUCUAGAGAGAGAAAGCUUUCUUUUCUAUUCAAAUGUGAGUUAAAUUAAUUUUGAAUAUAGGAUCUUCAAUUUAACAUAAUCAAACUAUAUAAGUCAAACCGUUAUGUUUUGAAGAUAAUAUAUAUAUAUAUAUUAGUUUUUUUCCUGACAAUGUAAUAUAAAUUUAAAAUUGAGUUUAGGAAAAAUUACUUUUUAGUCCCUAAGAUUUAACGUAAUUAACACUUAUGUCCCUCUAUUUUGGCGACCCAACACUUAAGUCCCUCACUUUAUUUUCUGUCCAAAUUCGUAGUUCUUCCAUCCAAAAUAACCGUUUGGGAUACGUGAAUUGACAAAAUUAACCCUCACUAAACCCAACUUCUUCUUCUUCUUCCUACCCUUUCUGCAACUUCUUUUUUCUUCUUCUUCAACUGGAGAAAAUAUGAAAGAGAAAAAAAAAUAGAAAUUUUACAUUGAGAGAAGGGUAUUUUUGGAAAAAAUUAUCACCUCUCACUUUUGACUCUUUGACCAAACGGUUUAAAUGGACGGAAAGACUACGAAUUUGAACGGAAGAGAAAGUGAGGGACUUAAGUGUUGGAUCGCCAAAAUAAAUGGAUAAAAAUGUUAAUUACGUUAAACCUCAGGGACUAAAAAGUAAUUUUCCCUUGAGUUUAAGAAAAAACUUAUUCAAAU
rnacentral:lncRNA from 1 species